rnacentral:lncRNA from 1 species
AUUCCCUUCUCCUAGCCCGAGCCCAGAGCUGAAAGGCUCGCCUUUGGCCAUUCGCAACUCAGAAUGUAAAUCACAAAAGACGCUCUCAUUUUAUUUCACUCAGUUUCAACCCAUCCAUCUCCACCCUCUCCCCUUGUCAUCUCCAGCAAGAACUCAAGAGCCUUGGCUAUCUUUCAGAGCAUAGUCGUGUGGGUUCAUCUAUGUGAGGGUGCCAAAUCCAGAAAACCCUCAACAAAAUCAAAAUCACCAUCAGCUGCGGCUUCGUCGAAGAGACAAUCGGAUGCUCACUGAGAUCCGUCCCAACUCAGACCCAACGACUCAGAUGAGCUGACCCAGACGGAGUUCAACCCAACACCACAUAGUCUCGCAGUUCCUGAGCUUGGUUAACGGUAAGCUUCGCUUUGUGCGCAUAACUGGGUCUCAGUGUGGGUAUUUUUGUGUUGAAAGUAAUUAAGAACAAAAGUGAUUAAAAAUAAAAUAAAAUAAAAUCAAAUAAAUCAGAAAAAGAUCUACCAAAAAUCCUAUCAAGAAAUUGGCGCCGUUGCCGGGGACUAUUUUAGACAAUUUUUGUUUAACCUUUUUCUGAUUUAUUUGAUUUUAUUUUAUUUUAUUUUUAAUUUUCGUCCAAAAUAAAAAAAAAAAAUUUUUUUUUUUUUUUAAUUGAAAUUGACCAAUUUUGUUUCUGUUGCAGAUUCUGCAGACUGCAUGGUCCAGACCAGAUCAGGAACUGCACAGAUUGUACAAUUUGAUCCAGAACC